rnacentral:rRNA from 1 species
CUUCGGAUGCUGACGAGUGGCGAACGGGUGAGUAAUACAUCGGAACGUGCCCGAGAGUGGGGGAUAACGAAGCGAAAGCUUUGCUAAUACCGCAUACGAUCUCAGGAUGAAAGCAGGGGACCGCAAGGCCUUGCGCUCACGGAGCGGCCGAUGGCAGAUUAGGUAGUUGGUGGGAUAAAAGCUUACCAAGCCGACGAUCUGUAGCUGGUCUGAGAGGACGACCAGCCACACUGGGACUGAGACACGGCCCAGACUCCUACGGGAGGCAGCAGUGGGGAAUUUUGGACAAUGGGCGCAAGCCUGAUCCAGCCAUGCCGCGUGCAGGAUGAAGGCCUUCGGGUUGUAAACUGCUUUUGUACGGAACGAAAAGACUCUGGUUAAUACCUGGGGUCCAUGACGGUACCGUAAGAAUAAGCACCGGCUAACUACGUGCCAGCAGCCGCGGUAAUACGUAGGGUGCGAGCGUUAAUCGGAAUUACUGGGCGUAAAGCGUGCGCAGGCGGUUAUGUAAGACAGAUGUGAAAUCCCCGGGCUCAACCUGGGAACUGCAUUUGUGACUGCAUAGCUAGAGUACGGCAGAGGGGGAUGGAAUUCCGCGUGUAGCAGUGAAAUGCGUAGAUAUGCGGAGGAACACCGAUGGCGAAGGCAAUCCCCUGGGCCUGUACUGACGCUCAUGCACGAAAGCGUGGGGAGCAAACAGGAUUA